UACAGGGGGGGCAAGCGUUGUUCGGAAUUACUGGGCGUAAAGGGCUCGUAGGCGGCCAACUAAGUCCGACGUGAAAUCCCAAAGCUUAACUUUGGAACUGCGUCGGAUACUGGAUGGCUUGAGUUUGGGAGAGGGAUGCGGAAUUCCAGGUGUAGCGGUGAAAUGCGUAGAUAUCUGGAGGAACACCGGUGUCGAAGGCGGCAUCCUGGACCAAUUCUGACGCUGAGGAGCGAAAGCCAGGGGAGCAAACGGG
rnacentral:rRNA from 1 species